UACGAAGGGGGCUAGCGUUGCUCGGAAUCACUGGGCGUAAAGCGCACGUAGGCGGAUUGAUAAGUCGGGGGUGAAAUCCCGGGGCUCAACCUCGGAAUUGCCUUCGAUACUGUCUAUCUAGAGUCCGGGAGAGGUGAGUGGAAUUCCUAGUGUAGAGGUGAAAUUCGUAGAUAUUAGGAAGAACACCAGUGGCGAAGGCGGCUCACUGGCCCGGAACUGACGCUCAUGAGCGAAAGCGUGGGGAGCAAACAGG
rnacentral:rRNA from 1 species